CAGUAGCCGCGGGAAUACCGAGGGUGCGAGCGUUAAUCGGAUUUACUGGGCGUAAAGCGUGCGUAGGCGGCUAAUUGAGUCGGAUGUGAAAUCCCCGAGCUUAACUUGGGAAUUGCAUUCGAUACUGGUUAGCUAGAGUGUGGGAGAGGAUGGUAGAAUUCCAGGUGUAGCGGUGAAAUGCGUAGAGAUCUGGAGGAAUACCGAUGGCGAAGGCAGCCAUCUGGCCUAACACUGACGCUGAGGUACGAAAGCAUGGGGAGCAAACAGGAUUAGAUACCCGGGUAGUCCCUGUCUCUUAUAC
rnacentral:rRNA from 1 species